GAUGAACGUUGGCGGUGUGCCUAAUACAUGCAAGUCGAACGGAGUUAGUAGCAAUACUGGCUCAGUGGCGAACGGGUUUGAGUAACGCGUUGGUGAUCUGCCUUGAAGUGUGGAAUAACGUUUCGAAAGGAACGCUAAUACCGCAUGUGCUCUCGAUUUUCAGAAAGUUGAGAGUAAAGGAUUUAUUCGCUUCAAGAGGAGCCUGCGUCCCAUCAGCUGGUUGGUAGGGUAACGGCCUACCAAGGCUAUGACGGGUAGGGGACCUGAGAGGGUGGCCCCCCACAAUGGAACUGAAACACGGUCCAUACACCUACGGGUGGCAGCAGUAGGGAAUAUUAGAAAUGGGCGAAAGCCUGAACUAGCAACGCCGCGUGUGCGAAGAAGGCCUUCGGGUUGUAAAGCACUUUUUGAGAGGAUGAGGAAGGACGGUACUCUCAGAAUAAGUCUCGGCUAACUACGUG
rnacentral:rRNA from 1 species